rnacentral:rRNA from 1 species
UACGAAGGGUGCAAGCGUUACUCGGAAUUACUGGGCGUAAAGCGUGCGUAGGUGGUCUGUUAAGUCUGAUGUGAAAGCCCUGGGCUCAACCUGGGAAUUGCAUUGAUACUGGCAGGCUAGAGUGCGGUAGAGGGUAGUGGAAUUCCCGGUGUAGCAGUGAAAUGCGUAGAGAUCGGGAGGAACACCAGUGGCGAAGGCGACUACCUGGACCAGCACUGACAC